GCACUGUUGGCUUUGGCAGCCAGCGCAUUUGGGAGGCCAGUCGUGACUUCGGACGAAAGAGAGAUUGAUAAUUAUGAGGAUGGUACAUUUGAAACUAUGGACACAGAUGGAGAUGGUGGUAUUACGCCGGAUGAGUUGGCGCAAGGACUUGAUAUCUCUCUGCUGAUUGCUAACCGAUAUGUGGUAGCUUUUGACGCGAAACGAGACGGAGAGCUUGAUUCUAAGGAGUUUUCAAACUUACCACUACACGAACAGUAAUGCC